CCUACGGGAGGCAGCAGUGAGGAAUAUUGGUCAAUGGGCGGGAGCCUGAACCAGCCAAGCCGCGUGAGGGAAGAAGGUACAGCGUAUCGUAAACCUCUUUUGCCAGGGAACAAAGGCGGGGACUAGUCCCCGGAUGAGGGUACCUGAAGAAAAAGCAUCGGCGAACUCGGUGUCAGCAGCCGCGGUAAUACGGAGGAUGCGAGCGUUAUCCGGAUUUAUUGGGUUUAAGGGGUGCGCAGGCGGCCUGUUAAGUCGGCGGUAAAAGCCCGGGGCUCAACCCCGGCGAGCCGUUGAAACUGGCGGGCUGGAGUUGGAGAGAGGUACGCGGAAUGCGCGGUGUAGCGGUGAAAUGCUUAGAUAUCGCGCAGAACCCCGAUUGCGAAGGCAGCGUACCGGCUCCACACUGACGCUGAGGCACGAAAGCGUGGGUAGCGAACAGGAUUAGAUACCCCAGUAGUC
rnacentral:rRNA from 1 species